rnacentral:rRNA from 1 species
CCUACGGGGGGCAGCAGUGGGGAAUAUUGCACAAUGGGCGCAAGCCUGAUGCAGCCAUGCCGCGUGUGUGAAGAAGGCCUUCGGGUUGUAAAGCACUUUCAGCGGGGAGGAAGGCGGUGAGGUUAAUAACCUCAUCGAUUGACGUUACCCGCAGAAGAAGCACCGGCUAACUCCGUGCCAGCAGCCGCGGUAAUACGGAGGGUGCAAGCGUUAAUCGGAAUUACUGGGCGUAAAGCGCACGCAGGCGGUCUGUCAAGUCGGAUGUGAAAUCCCCGGGCUCAACCUGGGAACUGCAUUCGAAACUGGCAGGCUAGAGUCUUGUAGAGGGGGGUAGAAUUCCAGGUGUAGCGGUGAAAUGCGUAGAGAUCUGGAGGAAUACCAGUGGCGAAGGCGGCCCCCUGGACAAAGACUGACGCUCAGGUGCGAAAGCGUGGGGAGCAAACAGGAUUAGAUACCCCUGUAGUC